UGCGGAUGUCGUUUGAAGUACGCGACUCCCCUGGGCUCGGCAGUGAGGAACAGCGGACUAUUCGGAGAGGCGCUCAAAGCAUUUAGCGUGGAUUUUGGGUGGACAACAGAAGCUAUCAGAACGAAACAAGCGAAAUAUAGACGCGUCGCGGGCAUUUUGUGCAGAAGCCAGUCCAAGGACAGUCAGUUUCACGAUGGCACAAAACCAACAUCAGAUAAAAGAAUUAGCAUCGCAAACGGGGCCGUUUCUAAGGAGGACAGAAAGCGACCGGAGUCCACUUAGCAGAUUGAGUCUCCCUCGGAGUGCAGACAGGCGGCCCUGAUAAGGAACCGUGACUGAGACAAGAGCAACAGACCAUCUAUAGCUCAAACGGGCGACUUGAAAAAUCCUUUAUUUCUUACCAAGAUUUUUUUUUUACAGAAGAAAGGAAGAUCCAUUAAACAAGGAAUUUCAGUCCAAUUUGUCUUCAAAAGAAGGCAAAGGAUCUCAUUACGAGAACCCUGCUCUUUCUUGACUAUUAGAUUGGCUAAAAAAGAGAGGCUUGCCACGCCUCCUGAAUGUCAGAAGGAAAGGUAUUACAAUGUGCAGGAGCAGACGGAGGACAAGAAGUGAUCAGUACAAGACAAGAGCCAGUGUUGCCAAACCCGUGUUGCCAUCUCCAGUUCUCCUCAAAAGUGAUCUUCAGCUCUCCUUGAAGAGGAUUCACCCCAAAAGGUCUCAACAGUAGUUCACAAGAUAGGGAAAGACAAGUACCCAGUUGGGUUGAAGGCCCCCGUUCAGUGCUCAUAACCAGAAUGAAAUCCAAGCUGAUUUUUUAGGGGGUUGCGGCAGUAAUGAAAGCAGUUUGAUUCACAGACAAAAAGUUUCAGGGUUAAAUUUCAAGAGGGAAAGCACAGCGCUGCCCUUGAGAAGGAAAAUUGACUUGGUAAGUAUUCAACUCCUGUCUCAACAAAUAACAACAGAAAGAUGAUCCAAUUCUCAUGGCGAACUCUCCUGUGGAGCUUAAUGCAGCUUCUGCCCUGUGGGUUUGGGUUACCUGGAGUACCAUCCAGCCAUGAAGACCGCAGUGCAGUGCAAAGCCACUCUCUGGCCUUUAGGUCACCUCAUACCGGAGCUUCUGUCCGUGUGGCUAAUAGCGUUAAGUCCAAACUGGAGUAGUCAGUCAUGUUACCUAAGGAAAAUGGACCUUCUGAAAGGUCUACCUGCAGUCUCAACUUCAAAUCCCAACCUGCCGAUUGUUCACCAUAACUCGUCUCCCUUGAACACAAAGCUAUCUCUUAUCUCUUAAAACAACCACGAAAGAACUAUACUGUCACUCCUUCCUGCUGAAUAAUCAGGCUUAUCCUACCCAAUGUUUGCACAAGCACACACAACUGGCUAUUUGUGACCCAAUUCUUCCCAGGCACUCGAGGCCUGAAAAAAAACAACGAAUCGCAGGUCUUUUCUCAGGGUCCCACUCAUCUGCAUUCAAAUUGGACCCAUUACCGUUUUUUCCGAUGACUAACCUUUAAGCGAUUAAACAGAGAAAAUACUAACUAACGAUAUGCUACGUUUAUUGGAAAAGUAAAUUCAUCACUGAUCCCCCUUCUACUCAAAUUCUAUUCACAACAUACAUAUCAGAUACAUACACAUACAAUUCUAAUGAAAAUUCAUAAGUCUUGUUGAUACGUAUGUAUUUGUUGUUAAAACAUUUCAUGUGGAAAGUAAUAUAUCAUUCACAUAUAUUUCAUUUAUAUUCAAAGUCAACAAAACGAGUAAAAAACAAGCAGAUAUACAACCACAAUAUGUAGAUUGUCUGUCAACACCCUGAUAUUUACUGCAGGAUAUAUGAAGCUUGUUGUCAGUUUGAGCAUCAGCCAGCCUCUCUGCAAACCCUGGUGUAUGCAAGAAUCAAGCCCCCAACACCACAACCUUUCACAAACUGGAAACCACAGACUCAAGUUCACUUUCCAGUGGGGGUCCUCCUCUCCCUCUCUGCCAUCACCACAUACCGACCCCCCCCCCCCCACACUCUUCCACCCCCAGGGGAAGGGAUGAUUAAAACAAAUGGGAAUUUAAUCAAGGCAUUGCGCCCUUGUGGGGCGGCGGUUUGCCCACUCGGGCCCCCGACAGAAGGGUCCCGCUCCGGGCAGCCUGCUGCAAAUCAAAGCCUUCCUCCUCGCCGCUUGCUGCUCAGCCGAUCCGUAUCACAACAACAAAACCGGCAGAAACGAUUAUUUAUUCCGUUUCAUGUUGAUUUUUUUGAAGUCACCCCCCCCUACCC